GACGAACGCUGGCGGCGUGCUUAACACAUGCAAGUCGAACGGAAAGGCCCUGCUUUUGUGGGGUGCUCGAGUGGCGAACGGGUGAGUAACACGUGAGUAACCUGCCCUUGACUUUGGGAUAACUUCAGGAAACUGGGGCUAAUACCGGAUAGGAGCUCCUGCUGCAUGGUGGGGGUUGGAAAGUUUCGGCGGUUGGGGAUGGACUCGCGGCUUAUCAGCUUGUUGGUGGGGUAGUGGCUUACCAAGGCUUUGACGGGUAGCCGGCCUGAGAGGGUGACCGGCCACAUUGGGACAGAGGUACGGCCCGGACUCAUACGGGAGGCAGCAGUGGGGAAUAUUGCACAAUGGGCGGAAGCCUGGUGCAGCAACGCCGCGUGCGGGAGGACGGCCGUCGGGUUGUAAACCGCUUUCGCCUGUGACGAAGCGUGAGUGACGGUAAUGGGUAAAGAAGCACCGGCUAACUACGUG
rnacentral:rRNA from 1 species